GGUCUGAUGGAGCUACAUUCUCUCAGCUUUCAUUUUUCCUGGAUAUCUUCAUGUAUCGUUCAUUCCUGGAUGAUACCCUGGGUACAGUAGUUUAUUUAAAGUUUAUUUUUUCUUCAGCACUGUGAAAAGCUCAAGUUACUUUCUCCUAGCCUGUAAGGGCUCUGGUAACAAUUAGCAACGUCAGAAAAGAAGAUAGUUUUGCUUAUUAUCAUUGAAGACCUGAUGGUGUUCUCUGGCAUCUAUUAGAUAAAGUCAGUGAUGCUGCUAGUCAUCCUGCAAUGCACAGGACAGCCUCCACAACCAAGGGUCAUCUGCCUGAAAGUGACCUUAUGCUCUCCAGUUCCUGGGGUUGCAGUGACAUCCACGUGAACAGAUAUCUGACCCACUGCAUCUUUGGAGGAGCGACCUGCGAAGCUUCACAGUUGCAUCUCACUAUACUGAGGAUCAAACCUUAAAACCCAACCUUUGACUAGGAUGCCUUUUAUUCCAUCCACACUGCUGGUACCUGCUGCUAUCAUUGAACUCAUUCUUCAAAACCUACUAUUUUAAAUUUUUUUUAAACUGCAAGUUUGGAACAUUUUCCAUAUUCUAUGAAGCCCUGUCCAAAUAGCUGUAUUAUUAAAUUCUUUCAUUUUUAAAUUAUAAAUCUUUAAUUACAUUCUUGAUUGCCUCAUACUAUGUAACAUGGUACAAAGACUUGUGGCAAUGGAACAAGACUCCCCUGAAUAUGUUUUCUGUUGCUCAUUAACACUUAAUUAAAACUCUGUGGACUUUCAUUUUCUUAUUUUUAAAUGGUGAGAAAACCACAUAUAUAUAAGCAUUAUUAUAAGGAUAAAAGAUUUUUUUUAAAAAAUGUGGAUUAUAUGCCCAUAAUAACUGCCCAAUAAAUGGAAUGUGUUUAAUACUUUAAUCCCUUAAAGAUUCAUGAAUAAUGCCAUAUGUGAAAAUUAUGUAAAACCCCCAUGAAUAUUAUAGUUAUCUAAACCAUAAUAUUAUAUCUUUGAAGGGACUAGAGUUUUCCUCAAUGACUUUGUAAUUCUUUUAUCUGUAAAAUUUCCUUAGUUGAGUACAAUAAAGAUGUCAGAUUUUCAAGGACCUCCAAAUGGGAAAAGCCCCUCCCUGCCACCGUCAUAAAACAUCAAUCCGGUCAAAUGUAUUUUCUCAAUAGUUUUUUAAAACUAUUGUUGAAAUCAGGGAUAGCAAGAAAAUUCCUUCAAACAGAAAAUGCAUACAUCUUGUGACUUAUCAAAAAGACAAAAGAUAACAAGUACUGGUAAUGACUUGAAGGGAACCUUUAUGCACUUGGUAGAAAUAUAAAUUGGGAGUCAUUAUGAAAAACAGUAUGGAGUUUACUUAAAUUAAAAAUAGAGCUACAAUACAAUCUAGAAAUCCCAUUAUUGGCCAUACAUCCAAAGGAAAUGAAAUUAAUCCAUCCAAAAGACAUCAGAACAACCCUGUUCACUGCAGCACUAUUCACAAUAGCCAGGAAAUAGAGACAACCUAAGUGUUCAGCAGCUGAGUGGACAGAAAGUGCACAUAUGGUGCACAUAUACACCAUGGAAUACCAUUCAGCCAUAAAAAAUGAAAUCCUGCAAUUUGCAACAUGGAUGGAAUUGAGAGGUCAUUAUGUUAGGUGAAAUAAGCCAGACACAGAAAGACAAGUGCUGCAUAACUUCACUCAUGGAAUUUUAUAAUAUUGAUCUCUUACAAAUUGAGAAUGGUGCUUUCCAGGGACUGGGGAGUAGAGGAGAGGAAGACAGAAAGGUAGAUCAAUGGAGACAGAGAUGGGAGCAAGAUGUUAUAUAAAAAAUGAAAAUCAAGACUACAACGAAUAGCCAUCCUGACUGGGGUCGGAUGGUAAUAUCAAAAUUUUUAAAAAAAGGCUGAUGAGGAGGAGGAGAAAAAGUAACUCUUAUACCCUGUUAUUGGGAAUGUAAAUCAGUGUAGCCAUUAUGGAGAAAAUUAUGGAGGAUUUUCAAAAAACUAAAUACAUAUCUACCAUAUGAUCCAACUAUCCCAGUUCUGGGUAGAUAUCCAAAGGAAAUGAAAUCAUCAUACAAAUGGGCCACCUGCAUGCCCAUACUUAUUGCAGCACGUUUCACAAUAGCUAAGGUGUGGAAUCAGCCUAGGUGUGUAUCAACAGAUGAAUGGAUAAAGAAAAUGUGGUAUACAUACAAAAUGGAGUUUUAUCCAGCCAUAAGAAAAAGUAAAACCUGUCACUUGCAGCAAAAUGGAUGGAGGUA